UCAAAUACGUUCGCGCAUUCAAUACGCUCUGCAUUGGACUAAAACACAACGGAUUGCGAAAUGUUUCGACUAGUAUUACCAUUGUGUCUUUUGGUUUGCGCUACAGCAGCUGUUUCAGGCAAGAGGAAUUCCUGUCCAUCAGGAGAUAUAGGGCCAGCUUGUGACAAAAAGAAUCCCUGCAAAUCUGGAUACACUUGCGUUUGGCGAAAGUGUUGCCGAAAUGCUAUCGUGAACGAGUGUCCCGCCCACAUUAUGUUGAGACCCGAAAAUUGCAAGACACCAUCACACCAGUGCACAACCGAUGCGGAUUGCCGCAAAGGGCAGCUAUGCUGCACUUCACCGUGUGAAAGAUAUUGCAAAGGUCCUGGAUUUCCCGGAUAAGAUGUCCAAUAGGAAUCCCUGGUUUUUCGAAAUCGGAAAAAGACGCAUGGACUGUUUUCAUACCUUUCUUUAUAACAGAAAUUUGAAAGUUCUUAAAUAUUUUUUUGAUUAAUACUAACGUUUAUGUUAAAUAAAGUCUUGAACGUAAUAUUAAAUUGAUUUAUAUUAAUUAUAUACUUUUUAGUUGAUACAACAACAUUGUUUAGGUGAAAUGAAAAUAUACAAAAUUACACACACAAUUUUAUUACUUUGGUGGAAAUAUAACUAGAAACAUAUUCAUAUUCGCGUUUGCUCAACACAUAUUUAACACACGUUGUCAAUGUCACUUCAUUGGUUAACAUUGUACGGUAUAAUUAUUCGUUAAAUAGUAUCUUGUGUUGUGUUUUCCUGGCCUGAUACCAAGUCAGUGAUUAUAUUCAGACGUCAUUUCAGAAACAUUAACCAAACCGUUUCUGUCGAGUUUGGCUUUUUGUCAAACAAACACUGAAGAUAACAAUAAAUGUUUACAUUAUUGUGAAAAUCAAUUUAAUAUUCCUUAUUUACCAUUUUAAAGACACGCAUUCGUUACAAAUGCGUGUGCUGGUGUUCGUUAUGAUUAUAUAAAUUUAUAUCGGAAAUACGUUAACCCAAUAAAUCACAGUUCAACUUUCA